GACGAACGCUGGCGGCGUGCUUAACGCAUGCAAGUCGAACGGAAAGGCCCUGCUUUUGUGGGGUGCUCGAGUGGCGAACGGGUGAGUAACACGUGAGUAACCUGCCCUUGACUUUGGGAUAACUUCAGGAAACUGGUGCUAAUACCGGAUAGGAGCUCCUGCUGCAUGGUGGGGGUUGGAAAGUUUCGGCGGUUGGGGAUGGACUCGCGGCUUAUCAGCUUGUUGGUGGGGUAGUGGCUUACCAAGGCUUUGACGGGUAGCCGGCCUGAGAGGGUGACCGGCCACAUUGGGACUGAGAUACGGCCCAGACUCCUACGGGAGGCAGCAGUGGGGAAUAUUGCACAAUGGGCGGAAGCCUGAUGCAGCAACGCCGCGUGCGGGAUGACGGCCUUCGGGUUGUAAACCGCUUUCGCCUGUGACGAAGCGUGAGUGACGGUAAUGGGUAAAGAAGCACCGGCUAACUACGUG
rnacentral:rRNA from 1 species